rnacentral:rRNA from 1 species
GACGUAGGAGGCGAGCGUUAUCCGGAUUCACUGGGCGUAAAGCGCAUGUAGGCGGCUGUCUAAGUCGUGUGUUAAAGCCCCUGGCUCAACUGGGGGAGGUCAUGCGAGACUGGAUGACUUGAGGGCAACAGAGGCACGUGGAACUCCCGGUGUAGCGGUGGAAUGCGUAGAGAUCGGGAAGAACACCCGUGGCGAAGGCGGCGUGCUGGGUUGCAACUGACGCUGAGAUGCGAAAGUGUGGGGAGCAAACGGG